UACGUAGGGGGCAAGCGUUGUCCGGAAUUAUUGGGCGUAAAGAGCUUGUAGGUGGUUUGUCGCGUCUGCUGUGAAAAUCCGAGGCUCAACCUCGGACUUGCAGUGGGUACGGGCAGACUAGAGUGUGGUAGGGGAGACUGGAAUUCCUGGUGUAGCGGUGGAAUGCGCAGAUAUCUGGAGGAACACCGGUGGCGAAGGCGGCAUCCUGGACCAAUAUUGACGCUGAGGAGCGAAAGCCAGGGGAGCAAACGGG
rnacentral:rRNA from 1 species